CGAGCGGGAGUAGCAAUACUUCGCCGGCGACCGGCGCACGGGUGAGUAACACGUGUGCAACCAACCCCGUACCGGGAGAUAACCCGCGGAAACGUGGACUAACAUCCCAUGACACCUUUUCCCCGCAUGGGGGAGAGUUUAAAACCCCGGUGGUACGGGACGGGCACGCGCGACAUUAGGUAGUUGGCGGGGUAAGGGCCCACCAAGCCGACGAUGUCUAGGGGUUCUGAGAGGAAGGUCCCCCACACUGGAACUGAGACACGGUCCAG
rnacentral:rRNA from 1 species